CAACGCGAAAACUUACCUACCUUGACAUGUUCAGAUCCUGAAGAGAUUUGGAGUGCCCGAAAGGGAACUGAACACAGGUGCUGCAUGGCUGUCGUCAGCUCGUGUCGUGAGAUGUUGGUUAAGUCCCGCAACGAGCGCAACCCUUGUCGUUAAUUGCCAUCAUUUAGUUGGGCACUUUAACGAGACUGCCGGUGACAAACCGGAGGAAGGUGGGGAUGACGUCAAGUCCUCAUGGCCCUUAUGGGUAGGGCUUCACACGUCAUACAAUGGUCGGUACAGAGGGUUGCCAAGCCGCGAGGUGGAGCCAAUCCCAGAAAGCCGAUCGUAGUCCGGAUUGCAGGCUGCAACUCGCCUGCAUGAAGUCGGAAUCGCUAGUAAUCGCGGAUCAGCAUGUCGCGGUGAAUACGUUCCCGGGUCUUGUACACACCGCCCGUCACACCAUGGGAGUGGGUUCCACCAGAAGUAGUUAGCCUAACCGCAAGGAGGGCGAUUACCACGGUGGGGUUCAUGACUGGGGUGAGGUCGUAACAAGG
rnacentral:rRNA from 1 species